CAUUGCUUUGUCUAAUCUAAUGCAUGAAUUUAUUUACUAAAUAUAAAUGCGAUAGAAAAAUAUUUAAUUUUGAUAUAUAAGUUGGAAUAUUGGAUUAUCGGCAGUUUGGCCUACCUACGUGCCUAUUAAUUAACUAUUAUCUCCUAUCUGUCUGCCUUUACCUUACUUUUUGUUAACUAUUUGUUAACGAUAAAAAUUGUGCAACUUUUUUUUUUAUACCUUUAUUUUUUUUGUCUGAUGUAAAUAGACGACGUGGACUAUUGAGUAAUUAUAUUUUGGAUUCAUUAUUUUUAUUUAGGGUAUAAUUUCAUACAAGUCCCUAUAAAAGUAUCAAAUAACAGAUAAAUUCCUACAAAACUUAAAUAAUCAGAUUUAUCCCUUUGAACAUUCUCUGGUUUGCAAAUAUAUCCAGAAGUUCUGUUCAAGUGCCGCCCCGUGCCGUAUUGUCAGGGCCCUUUUUGGUUGUCAACGGCCCUGACUUCGUUAAUAACAUUGAGUUUGUAAAUAUUGUGUCGGGCACGACGCCGACAUAGGAUUUUGCUUUGUUUGGGAUGGGACAUUGCUUGUAAAUUGGCAUUCGGUUGGCACCCGCGGGUUCGCUUGUGCUGCGCAUCCAAAGGGAUGUAGGUAUUUUGCUAAUGAUGGUCGCUUAUGUGACGGGUGGAGCACUCGUGGGCACGACCCAAUUGAGUAUGUAAGCGUGUCUUUGUCGAGCUCAAUCAGGCUCUCACAGGCUAUAGUCAAUGCAAAUGGGUCAAAUUGGUCUAACAACCAAAGCUUUUGUGCCCUUGGCACAAUCUGAUGCAAGAUACAAAAAUCUGGGUCCACUAUCAACCACGACGGCAGAGUACGGCACAGUAAGGAACAGUCUACACUAUUGUAAAACGAGCUCGGCCCCUUAGCACGAGCGUAAUCUGAACCUGCACUAAUCUGGGUAUCCACCUCGCACUAACAGCGGUGAUACAAAUGAACAACAGCUCCUAAAGCUAAUUCGGAUACUUUUCGAAAAGUGACAGUGUAGGUUUAAUAAGUUUUCUCCUAAGUCAAUUCCAGGUUCAGUAUAUAAAUUUAUCUAAAUUUUUAGAUCAUUGCUCCAAAACUCAGAUUUCGUAAAACAUGCAAAUUCCUGAAUUUGAGCUACUAUCAUGAUAACCAAAACAAGAACUACAUACUGAAAUCUACGACUUAGCAGGAAAUCCGACGAUUUCGGUAAACAUUAACCCACCUCGAACGAUCUUCCAACGUCGGCUAGAAGUCGAAAGGAGAAACUCUGCGCGCUCGCUCGACCUCCAACAAUUCAACCGAAACGACCCACACGCACGAACGGUCCUCCUAGCAAGCGAAGAAUCCACACGAGCUCGACCCACGACAUCCCAACGAACAGCGUACACAAGCUAGAGAAAGAGGAGGAAAAUAGCCUGCUUGUACGCAUAUAUAUAAGCUGGGUUGGUUGGAAUAAUCGACAAUUAAAAGCACCAAACUACCCCUUACAAACUCACUUCUGCCUCUGGGGUACCGAUACUCAACUUGAAUACCGGUACUCGGCCCUCUAACUGCAAUCCCGCACGCUGGGUACCGGUACCAGCUCGAUGCAGUACCAGUACUCAAGCUCGGUACCGGUACUCAACAACAGGUACCGGUACUCAGCAUCAAACAUGCGCAAUCCGAGAGCAUCCAGUUCAAAAAUCUCGCUAGGGUACCGGUACUUCUUCCCAGGUACCGGUACUCAGCAUCAAACAUGCGCAACUCGAGAGCAUCCGGUUCAAAAAUCCCGCUAGGGUACCGAUACUUCUCCCCAGGUACCGGUACUCAGCAUCAAACAUGCGCAACCCGAGAGCAUCCGGUUCAAAAAUCCCGCUAGGGUACGGGUACUUCUCCCCAGGUACCGGUAGGUACUCAACACUGAAAUCCUGCACUUUGCAGCUUUCAAUGUCAGAACUCCACACUCGCUCAGAACUCCACUCUCGCUCUGCGCCGAGUCCGUUUUGCGUCCAAUUCGCGCCAAAACGACUCCAACUUAUCUCGACACCCACCAGACGUGUCGACAAGCCACAGAUGCUGAAGUCUCUCAGACUGCUAAACACCAGGGACACUACAGAGGCUAUAUAGAGAUCAUUUGUUGCUUCAAAUUUUCUUCGACGCUUAACUAUGUUUUGUAUAGCACUCUGUAUUCGUUGCCCUUUUCCCUCCCUUUUUUCUGCCCUCUUUGUACCUGCCAUGGUUCUAUAUAGUUGUUGCUUUUUCUUUUUUACUCUCUGCUUCUUUUCUUCUCCUCAGCUCCUCUUGCUUUUUCUCCCUCUAACAGUCAACAUCUCAAACUCCAUCCUAUGAAGAAAACCAAUCCUUAAUUUUGUGUUGCAUGAUCUUAAUUGUUUUUAGUCCAGCUAUCAUUUCCCAUGCUUUCACAAUAAAAGGGAAAGACACGAAAUGUAUUUCGAUUUAUAAUAAACAAAAAAGAGAUACUGACCCUUUGCUCAAUAUGCUCUUCUACCUUCUUCUCUUUUCAACUUCAGCUUUCCGCAGUGGUCCUUAUACAUGGAUCUGACUAGAUACGUAUGUCGUAUUACUUAUGCUUUAGCUAAAUUAUUUUAACUCUUUAAUUUUCUAUAGUACGUACUAAAAAUUCCUUCUAGCUAAUUUGCUUAUACUUUUUGCUGGUUAUUUCUCUACUGCUGGUGCUGUUGUUUAUGCUGGCGUUGCUUCAGGUAGUUUUUCUAAAUUAUGCUUUUUUCGUUGCUUUCGAUUGCUGUUUGUCAGUUUACCUUUAUCUCCAGCUGUGUUUAUUGCUCUUGCUGUUACUACUUCAUGUCCUGCUGCUUUUGUGUUGCCUGCUACUUUCCUCUUCUGCUCUUCCCUACUUUUAUUCAUCCUGAUUAAUAUGUUGAUGUUUUGCUUCAUUGGUCGACAGCAAAAUUUCUAACGAUUUGUGCUCAUAAUUUGUGCUGCAUUUGUUGUCCUGCUUUUUCCAUUUUUUCGUGCAGUUAAUUGCCUGUUGUGCUUGCAAUUUGGAUUGCCUGUUUUUACUCCUAUUGUAACUACUCCAUCUUCUUCAUUUACUCUUUUUUUCACUGCUGCUUCUUUUAACUAUAUUUUAUUUUUUACAAUUUGCACUUCCUUUUUUGCCUAUCCUCUGUAGGCUGUGAUGAUGUUGCCCCUCGAAAAAUAAAUUAUGUUGCCCCUCGAAAAAUAAUAUUCUUUUUAGUUUGUUGGGAAGAAAGAGCUCCUAGCUGCAUUCAAAUUCGUGUAUAUUUUUUCCUGUUUUAGUUUAGGAUGUCCAUUGAUUGCUGCUUUUCUUCUCCAUGGGCGGUAAUAAUUUAUUGAUGGAUGACAAUAUCUGGAUAGUAUGCUCCGCAUGCAACCAUUUACUUGCAUUUGUGUUUCGAUAUGUGAACAAAAGGUCCAUGUUUAACUGGCAAUUGAUGUCGGACAAAUCUGAGCCUUAUAUAUUUUUGUUUGCUUCUACUUUUCACUACUUAUUUUUUCUUUUUUACUGUUGCUACUUCUGCUGUUAUUCAUGCUGCUAUUGCUUCAGUUGUCUCUUUAUGUUUUUUUCCCCUACUUUUUUUCUUACCUUUUUCUUAUUCUACUAUUGUUGAUAUCGUCUUUCAUUCUUUAGCUUUAUCUCUGACUCAAUUUUCUUCUCACGUUGUUGUUUCUGCUGAGGACAAGGUCUGGAUGGUGUGCUCCGCAUGCAACCAUCUACUACAUUUGUAUCUCUAUAUAAGCUCAAAAGCUUCAUGUUCAACUGAUGAUUUAUGCUGUACAAAAUUGAGCCUUAUGAGCCUUAUGUAUAUUAUUUUUUUCACAGCUACUUUCUCCUACUCAUUUUCCCUACCACUGUUGUUCAUUUCGCUAUUUUCUUUUUUUUCACUAUCCUUUCUUAUUCUGCUGCUGUUGGUAUUCUUUUUUAUCAUCCUUUAUCUCUUACUCAUUUUUUUUCUGCUGCUGUUGUUUCUGCUGGUUUUUUUUCAAAUGAUGACGAUAGAGAAUUUAAAAGUAGAGCAAAUUUGAUGACCAAAUAGGCAACUCUUGCAUUUGUUAAUGAUUCAAAAACUUUUGAUCGACAAUAAAUAAAAAGGGACCUUCUAUUUGUGAACACAGAAUAAAUUGCGGAUGAAAACCUAACAUCUGAGCUCAUAUUCAAGUAAUCACUCUUCCGCCAAAGUGCCCCUUUCUCCCCGUCCUUUCUUUCUCUUCUACUACAUUGCUUCUAUAGCCAAAUGUCUAUUUUACAAUAGAGUGUUCUUAGUUCUGGAUAAUAGAUACGGAGAAUUGGGAAGCCUUGAAAAAUAGACGUGCCAUCAAUUCGUUGCAUCUAUUAUCCCAAAUUUAUAGUAAGCCUUGAAAAAUAAAGCAAGCUUCAUGAUCUUUGAAACAUUUCCAAUAGAGAUUUUGCUCUGUUCUUCUGAUUGUUCAUAAAUUCUAUCUAAAACAUUUAGAUGGCAGGGUAGCUUGGAUGGCUAUAUAGCAACCGCUGCAGCCAUUAAUCUUUUACAAGGAUCCAAUGUGGAAAAAGGCAGAAGAAUAUGUGCUCUUCAGCGUGACAUGAACAAUAGCACCCAUAUCAUACCACCAAUCCAGCGACUUGCUGCCGCCAUGUGAAGUUCGGUAACUAUGCUUAUAUGCAUGUUAGAAAUCAUUGCAAUAAGUUCUGUGGUCUAUUAUGUUAUGACCGCACCUUGACAGUGGAGGCGAGCUGACUCUAGGUUAGGAGGAAGGAGACGAAGCAACAGGGUAAGGUGGAGAGGAUCCAAAGAAAGAGUUAUCAGAGGCAGCGGAGAUAGUUAGGCUCACAGGUCGGGUUGUCGGGGGCGAACGGAGGUUGCUCGAUCCGGGCCUAUCCAUCCAAGUCCGUUUCAAUCUUUUGAGUAAGAUGGACUUGAAGGAACAGGGUCCAAUCCCUACCAAAAGGUGGCUCGAGAAGGCCCAAUUGCAAUAAUCCUUUCACAGCUUAGGCCCCCAAUUCUUGUAACUCUCUUUUUGGUCCCAAAGUAUAGAAGUAUAAAAAUAAUAGAAAGAAGAUAAUAAAAUUCCAAUUCUCCCCUAAUCUCUUCUUUUCUCCUUCUCUCCCUCUCUCUUCUCCAUCUCUACCCUACCAUUCUCUUUUCUCUCUACUCAAUUCCCUGCGGCCUGGUUCCAAUCCGCUAGAAUUUCGAUUGGAUUCCUAUCAUCUCCUGCGUCCAACUCCUCAGCUUGGUGGCUUCAUCGGAGUAGGAAUCGGAUCAGGUAUUGGUUUGAUCAUUCCCUUUAGAAUCGGAUCAGGUAUUGAUUUGAUCAUUCCCUUUAGCCCUCCAACAUGUAAUCGUGGUUGCUAAAGGGUCAGAUUCAUCACACUUGGUAUCAGAGUGGCUAUAUCCCAAGGAUCGGAACAGUGUUGUCGCAAUUGAUUCCAGUUUCCAUAAGUUGUUGAGUCACACGUCGACGCAGCUACCUGCGCUGCGAGGAUCGGCCACGGCUGAACCUCGACAAAGGGGGCCAUUGUGAGGAUCACACCGGUUCUCAAACUCAUAUUCCACAUGGUGCCUGCAGUACCCCGCCAUUGGUGACGGAGGAAGAUUGGGUCGACAAGGGGCAACGGAUUCAAAUUUAUCAGCAAAACUAUGGCCGAAGGAACCCGAUUGAAAAUGUUUGAUGAGCACGUCCACAUGUUAGAGCAAUAGCUCCAGCAGUUGACCAUAGGGAAUGAGAAGAAAUUCGAAGCACUCAAUGGAAGGAUUAAAGCCAUCCGGAUUGAAGGUCAAGCCCACUAUGAUGCACUACAGAGAGAAUCCGUCAAUACUUCAAAAUAGCUAGAGCAAAUUAUGGAAUUAUUGCUGAACGCACCUCAAUUAGCCUCCUCCAAAGGUCACUCAGCCAUGAAGAGAGAGGUAUAUUACCCACCCCUCAGAAUUUCCAUACAAAAGAUGAUAACAAUAUGAACUUCAUGUCAAAUGGACUUGGUUCCUAGUUACCCCUGCCGAAGUUAGAAUUUCCUACAUUUGUGGGUGAGAAUCCAAGAAAGUUGGGUCUGGAUUGAUGCAAACAAGUCAUAUAAAUUAUCUGACAAGGUGCAAGAAAAUCUGGCAAAUUAGGAUCCAGGAUGUAGGCUAU